AAGCGCAGGAAAAGAACGUCCUUAGGAAAGCAAUUGUGCUCCAUCAGCUAACCCGUCUCCUAUGACUAGAGGUCUUAAAUCAUCAUUCACCUGCCAGCCAGGCGUCAGACCGUCAGGGGCUUUGUGAAGAAAACAGUCUAUUUGGCGUCCAAGACACAGGUCUGCUGCUGGGAGCUGCCGGAGCCCAUUGUGUUCAGUGCCAGCCUGUACACUUAUUUCCAUCUCUUCUGUUUCUACAGUUCUCCCUCUGUUUCACUCUGGCCCCUUUUCCCAUUUUGAAGAAAUGCCAUAGGAUAUCUCAGUGAGCAGGAGAACAAGCCUCAGAAUGAAGAGAGCCGCUUUCCAUGCAGAUUGUUCCCUAUGCCUGGGACGAUGAGAUUUCUCUGUUGUGUUUCUUGAGUAUGCAGCAGUGGCCAGUUUCAACAAUUUAGAAAUCAAAUGUUAGCAUUAGGGAGUCUGAUACUCAGCAAAUCCAGAACAGAAAAGGUAGCUUAAAAUCUUGUCUAUAAGAGUUCACAACAUGUGGUGAUGGAUUCGGACAUUGUGCUGAGAACUCAAAGGUCAGCGGGUGAGAGCCAGUCAAGGGCUUUUGAAGGUCAUUCCUGUGCACCGAGUGUCAGACUGGACAAUACCAUUGGUCAAUAAGUAUCAUUCAGAUCGGUCAAGUCACCAGUCUAAACCACCUCGUUCUUUUUGUGCCAAGGGCUCUUCCCCCUAGAUCGCUCUGUCUCUGACAUGAUGAGUAACAUUGUGUAUUGUAAUGCCCUGGCCCAAAGGCCACUGACCUCAGUGGGAGGAGGACUGGACUUGUGAUGGAUCUGGACAUAAUGGAGCUCAGGACACCAUAUAUUUUAUUGUGUCUUUCAUCCCAUAUUCUGGCAUCUUAAUAAGCAGGUUGUUUUGAAGCCAUAAGGAGUGAGGCAUAGGAAUGGCCUCUGAAUAGAAACACAUGGGGGCGGGGUAGAGGGGGAUGCAGAUGUCUUUCGCUUUGGGGAUCCGUGGUGGGCUGAGAUCAGCUGCUGAGAUGGCAGGCAGGCAACGGCUGAGUGUGUGGGUGUGAGGGAAGAAAUCACCAGCAGCCGGCCCUAGACCAGUUUUGGAGCAUUCCUAAAGGAAACACAAGAAAAGGAAAAAUCCCAACCCAGAACAAUCUUUGCAGUUUAUGGGCUGAUAAGUACAUAUUUAGCCCAGAUUAGGUUCUGCUAUUACCUGACUUGGUUGGUGAUGGUUCCUAUCCCUGCUGGGUCUGAGCACCUCAGAAUCAUUAAUUCAUUAAUUAAACCUUGCACACCCAAUGUGGUGUAGGGCAGAAUUACUGUUCCCAUUUUACAGCUGGGAAAACUGAGUCACGGAGCCAUUAAGCGACUUUCCCCAGCUCACAUAGUGAAUCAGUAGUAGAGAUGGGAACUGAUCAGAAUCCAUGUCCUGUGUCUUAACAACAUGACCAUCCUUCCUCUCAGUGCCUCUUAAAAACAAAACCCUUUGUGCACCCGUUAAAGAGGGGAAAUGUUGCUACUUACAAGAAUAAUUGAAAAUCUCUUCUUGAGGGACCGCUGUACAUAAAAAGAAUUAAAUGA